GGGUAGGUGCCCGAGUGGUUAAAGGGGAUGGACUGUAAAUCCAUUAGCGUAAGCUUACGGUGGUUCGAAACCACCCCUGCCCA
rnacentral:tRNA from 1 species